GACGAACGCUGGCGGCGUGCCUAAUACAUGCAAGUAGAACGCUGAAGCGAGGAGCUUGCUCUUCUUGGGUGAGUUGCGAACGGGUGAGUAACGCGUAGGUAACCUGCCUGGUAGCGGGGGAUAACUAUUGGAAACGAUAGCUAAUACCGCAUAAAAUGGAUUAUCGCAUGAUAAUCCAUUGAAAGGUGCAAGUGCAUCACUACCAGGUGGACCUGCGUUGUGUUAGCUAGGUGGUGGGGUAACGGCCCACCAAGGCGACGAGACAUAGCCGACCUGAGAGGGGGAUAGGCGACACUGGGAGUGGGACACGGACAAGACUCCUACGGGAGGCAGCAGUAGCGAAUGGGCGGCAAUGGACGGAAGUCUGACCGAGCAACGCGGAGUGAGUGAAGAAGGUUUUCGGAUCGUAAAGAUCUGUUGUAAGAGAAGAACGGGUGUGAGAGUGGAAAGUGCGCACUGUGCGGGUAUCGGAACAGAAAGGGACGCUAAACUCGGU
rnacentral:rRNA from 1 species